CGAAAGGAAAUGCCCUGCUUUUUCUGAUUCCAGAAGAGCUGCAGUUUCUGCGCUAUCUGAAGGGGGCAAAAGUCCCCGUUAAAGAAUAUGAAUUUGAUGAUAAGANAUAUGAAUUUGAUGAUAAGAAGCUGGCAAAUGUUCAGUCUCAUCUGGAGAAGUUGGUGGCAAACAACUAUUAUUUGAACAAAUCUGCUAAAGAUGCAUAUCGAUCCUACGUAUUGGCCUACAAUUCACACUCUAUGAAAGACAUAUUUAAUGUCCACUGCCUUGAUCU
rnacentral:misc_RNA from 1 species